rnacentral:rRNA from 1 species
CGCUUACGUUACGGAGUAUCAUGUAUGUGACAAUAUUAUACAGGGUUGUAGCUGGCCUUCCGAGGCAAUGUGCACGCCCUUGUUCAUCCACUCUCUACACCUGUGCACUUACUGUGGGUUUCAGUUGAAUGAAGCGAGCCUUUUAAAUUAAAGGGCUUGUGGAAUUUAUUCUGUGCCUGCGUUUAUCACAUUAAACUCCAUUGUAUCAGAAUGUGUAUAUUGCGAUGUAACGCAUCUAUGUACAACUUUCAGCAACGGAUCUCUUGGCUCUCGCAUCGAUGAAGAACGCAGCGAAAUGCGAUAAGUAAUGUGAAUUGCAGAAUUCAGUGAAUCAUCGAAUCUUUGAACGCACCUUGCGCUCCUUGGUAUUCCGAGGAGCAUGCCUGUUUGAGUGUCAUGAAAUAUUCAAUCUACAAGUCUUUGCUUUGUAGUUUUGGAUUUGGAGGCUUGCCGGUUUGUAUUUGACAAACUGGCUCCUCUUAAAUGCAUUAGCUUGAUUUCUUGCAGAUCAGCUCUUGGCGUGAUAAUUGUCUACGCCGUGGCUGUGAAGUGCUUGGCGAGCUUCUAGUUGUCUUGCAUAAGACAUUUAUUGAGCUCUGACAUCUCAUCACGUAUGACAACACGCUGAGAUUAUACAUAUCAAAAAGGGGGAAAAAAAAA